UCCACCUCAUGGCCAACUGCGUACACCGACCAACCCCAAAUCCCCAACCAAAUCGCCUUUGUCCCUUGCCCCACGGCUGGCGGCGGCUCCGAAGGCCACCAGCCCACCGCCGGCUGCCCCGCCAACCAAGUCGCUUUUGCCCCUUGCCCCACAGCUGCCGGCGGCUCCGAAGGCCACCAGCCCGCCGCUGGGUGCCCCAGCGGCAAGUCGUGAUGCAGAGGAACCCUGCCUUCUCCACCACCUCAGGCAUGGCGAUCGUGCGGGACAUCGCACAGAACUGAGGAGGCUUGGCAAAGGAGCUUACACAGGCCAUCGAGGGAGCCCGAGACCGGCGGCGGAGAUGCAGCUGUGGCUGGCUCGGCCGCCCGAGACCGGCGGCGGAGAUGCAGCUGUGGCUGGCCCAGGCGUGCCAAUUCACCUAUGAAGUGGUUCUGUUUAUCAACAUCCCACCCUAGCUUCAUUUUCCUGUUGUCAUGUCGUCGCCUUGCAGGUGUGUACCUGGUAACCUGGGCAGGAGCCCCACUUUGCACUGAUUUGCAGUCUUCCAUUCUGCAUCAGAUUCAUUGAACUGGAGUUAUAAAUUUGUUGUGCUACUUUGAAGAUGCAAGACAGUAAGUAGUGGUUCUGCUUGCAACACAUUCCAUUUUUUUCAGUUUGUUCUUCACUUUAACCAUUCCCCAUCUGCACGUCUCAUGAACAUUAUGUAUAUGUAGGGCAAGGUUUUUCUUCAUCCCAUGCAUUGUCCAUACUUCACAUGUUUGCCUUUUAUACUUCUUAUUGCAUUGGUUUUCUUUGUUUGUAUAGUUGUAUGUAGGUUUUAGAGGUCAAUACUUGGAUGAUUGUUACCAGAGGGGUUAAACAGGCAUUGUUCUUUUGUCAGGUAAUAGUUGCUGCUUGGCAUUGGACUUUUGGCACUCCCUUGCACUGAGCGCGGCAAUGCUCGGCUCUCCAUGUGUGAUCACUCCUGCUCGGAGCAUUGCACCGUCGACUACUCUCCGUGCUUGGCAGACUUCACAACAUUUCUUCCGUUCAUGAUGCAAUGAAACUACCAUCGUCACUCGGGUGAGCACCCAUCCAGUUCAUUGUCAUGAUGAUUGACCGGUCCCCCCCCCCCCCCCGCCAUAAGAGACGAGCUAAUCGCUGUCAGGUUUAGGAUGUAAUGGUACUAAUGAGAUUAGUAUGAUUGCAUGCUUAAUUUCAAAAAUAAAGAAGAAGCCCUGUUUGACGGGCAAGCGACGGUUUCAAAAAUAAAAUGACACUAGCGCCGCUGAAGUAAACAAGCACAUGAGAUUUCCAUGUGGUCCAACAUUAUCAAAGAAAAAGAAAAGCCCCAAGGAACUGUUCCCACAUGAGUUCUAAUCAUCAUGGUCUCAGUAUGUCUGCAGACAUGCAUGAAGAAACACUUUACCUCACUAAGUAAAAAAACCCCUCGCUGCUUCCCUCUCCUCUCAUUCCUUUGGUAUUGAUGAUUUAUCGAUAAUUUUACCCGUGGGCUGAUUGGUAUUAUUAUUUGCUUUGGCUGCUUUUUAGUCCUUGGAUAGUUAACUAUUUCUACACAUCUUUUCUUUUCUAUGACUGUUACAGCACUGUAGUAACUUGGUUUGUUAGGUUUAUUUUGGUUUGCUAAUUUCAGAUCUGUAGAAUGUUGAUGUAAGUCUGGCCACUUCCACUCUGGCUUUUGGAUCUAGAUAGCUCGACGUUCAGCUUGCCAUCAACAAACAGAGGUGAGAAGACACUGUGCCCAGACAAUUGUGGAUGACAAGAACUCUCAGGAAGAUAUCGCCUGAUUUUCCCCCAGGAGAAGGUGAACCGUUUGUCUUUCCUCUGCUUUUUCCCUAUGCUAUUUAAAUACCUAAUCGUACCUACUUUCUCUUCCUUUCUCGGUCCUUCGUGGUCUACACUAUCGGUUUGAAAUUUACAUGCACAUGUGUUCAUUGGGCUAACAUGUGGGAGAUGGUAGACUUCUUUGAUGCCAAACCAAUAGACAAGAGAUUUUUUACCCUCUGAAAAUUUAUGUGGGCGUGACUAUCGAAAUUUAUGGCCUUUAUAGAACGAUUUCCUUAUAUUACCUCAUAUGUGAAUUAAGAAAUAUAUUGAUUCUUUCAUGUAGUUGUAGUAUUCCUUUUAUGCCUGAAUUCAUGUAAAUGAAUACUUAAUAAUGAUAGUGUAUAUUUAUGUUUCGCACAGUAGGUGUAUUUUCACGGCCAUCCGGAAUAUGUUGCUUUCCUGGGAUUUUGUCAGCACCAGUUUUUUUGUAUCAUCAUAAUGUCACUACUUGCUCUAUCUUUGUAAGAUGUACGGACAACCAAUUUGAUAGCUAUACUGUCAUAUUUUUAGGCAAAGAAAAACCU